GUUCACUUGAGUUAACAUUCCAGUUAGCUUGUUUCUCAAUCAUCUUCUGAGUCAGAAUUAUUAUAGCUACACUUUUCUGUUUAACUGACUCAGCUGUACUGUAAGCAGAUAUAGGAGUUUCCUCUUAUUGUAUCAUAGAAACCAGUGAAUGAAAAAGUACUAAUAAUUUCACUAUUCUUUUCUUAGGCCGAUACAUCAUUGUUAUUGUAUGUCUGAGAUCAAAUUCCUGUUAAAAAGACAGAGCAGAUUUAAAGUCUGGAGAAAGAGAUGUUGAACAGAAAUGCAGACUUCUACAUGAAUGGCCCAGCCACAAAGGGAAGUUGCUGUGCGUGCAAAGUAUUUUUCUGAAGUUGAUGGUAGUCAUCACCUACCUCAGAAAAUCGUUUUACUGUAUGGAUUCCUUAAGGGGUGAGUUCUGGCACUUCUGUGAUAAUGGAUGCAAAAGAUGCACAACUCACAGUCACUUCUGUG
ensembl:lncRNA